CUUCGGGAGGGGAUUAGUGGCGAACGGGUGAGUAACACGUGGGCAAUCUGCCCUGCACUCUGGGACAAGCCCUGGAAACGGGGUCUAAUACCGGAUACUGAUCAUCUUGGGCAUCCUUGGUGAUCGAAAGCUCCGGCGGUGCAGGAUGAGCCCGCGGCCUAUCAGCUUGUUGGUGAGGUAAUGGCUCACCAAGGCGACGACGGGUAGCCGGCCUGAGAGGGCGACCGGCCACACUGGGACUGAGACACGGCCCAGACUCCUACGGGAGGCAGCAGUGGGGAAUAUUGCACAAUGGGCGAAAGCCUGAUGCAGCGACGCCGCGUGAGGGAUGACGGCCUUCGGGUUGUAAACCUCUUUCAGCAGGGAAGAAGCGAAAGUGACGGUACCUGCAGAAGAAGCGCCGGCUAACUACGUGCCAGCAGCCGCGGUAAUACGUAGGGCGCGAGCGUUGUCCGGAAUUAUUGGGCGUAAAGAGCUCGUAGGCGGCUUGUCGCGUCGGUUGUGAAAGCCCGGGGCUUAACCCCGGGUCUGCAGUCGAUACGGGCAGGCUAGAGUUCGGUAGGGGAGAUCGGAAUUCCUGGUGUAGCGGUGAAAUGCGCAGAUAUCAGGAGGAACACCGGUGGCGAAGGCGGAUCUCUGGGCCGAUACUGACGCUGAGGAGCGAAAGCGUGGGGAGCGAACAGGAUUAGAUACCCUGGUAGUCC
rnacentral:rRNA from 1 species